CAAGAAAGGGAGACUUCCCUUGCGCUUCGCUGUGCUGCAAGCUGUAAAUUUCUGAAGAGCUCUGCUAUAAUCUUUUACAGUCUGCAAUCCCACCCUUCAGCUUAAUGAAAUGGAAUGGUACAAAUGCUCUCUGGACAUUUCACUGCUGACAGUUACCCAAGCAGUCAGAUGUGGACAACUACACUUCAGGACAUCUGGAGAUAAGAAUACUUCUAAUAUGCAAAAUUCCAAGUUAUGCUUUUGGAAACUCUCGUAGCUUACAGCCAGUGAACAUACUUCCAAACACUGGAGUCUUUUCAUGAAUGUCUGAACUUGUGAUUCAAAGAUGGACAAGAUCUGUCCACCCAGAUGAAGUCUGCUGAUGUCUUCCCGUACGAUAUGCAUCCUGUCAAUAUCAAAGUUAUUGAAAACACAGUAUAUUUUAUACAUCAUAGAAGGAUAUUCAAUGCACACAUCGUCUGCUAUUAACACUAGUAUCUUCAUCCAGCUGUAAAAAUUACAUUUUCUUUCAGCCAAAUGUGUUAGAUCUUGACAUUCUCCUAAAAAGAACAUAUCUGUUUUUUGGCAAACUUCUUGCAAUUAUCAUUGACUCUUUUGUUGUUGGUUUGGUACUUUAGAUUGCUGGAGGACAAUGUUCCAAAGUAACACAGUGAAAUUUUUUUGCUUUAUUGCUCUUGAAAGGUCAAUAAGCCAAGGUAAAAUCCGUACAGUUGUUUUGUGAAGAAACUAUGAGAUUUUGGCCCUGAAAGACAUUGAACAGAACUGAAAACACCACAGAAGCCUGUAGCCUCAGGUUUGAAAAAUAUGAGCAGUCAGUUGUGCUAGAAAAUAAUUCAGUGCCAUGCUUUAAAAGGUAAAAUCAAAGAAUUCUGUGUGCCAUAUAAAGUUGAAAGAAAAGCAGAAUCCAAAAGGGUUGGGUGACCAGUUUUGAAACACUGUUUGAAUAAGAUGGAUGGAUUGGAGCUUGCCGUACUUGGUUUGCAGCCAGGAAUAAUCUUUUCAAAGCUAGAACUGCUUUUGAUCUCUGCCUACUCCUCCUCAUCACUGUGAAUCUCCAGGGAUACAACCCUACCGUGCAAUACAAGGGAAAGAAAAUGUACUUCAGAA
rnacentral:lncRNA from 1 species